GCAUCCCUCUAGGCCUCCAGAAACUUCGGGAGAGAAAGAGGGAAGGCGAGAGGGGCGGUUCCCAUAGGACCUUCAGAAAUUCGCUUCUCUGCCGCUGAACACUACUUUGUGCACCUUCUUGCCUUACCUCUCCGCUGCGCAGCCCUGCUUGAAGAUGAUGCUGAUGACGACGAUGAUGAAGAUGAUGAUAAUGAUGAUGAGGAAGAUGAAGAAGAUGAUGAUGAUGAUGAAGAUGACAAUGUUGAUGGUGGUACCUAACACUUACUGAGCUCUUGCUAUAAGCUAAGCUAAGUGGUCCAUUCAAUUUCCACAGUACCUCUGCAAUACAGGUAGUACUGCUAUUUUCAUUUUAUAGAGAAAGAACUAGGGCUUACUUUGUUUAAGGACCUGAACCAAGUUCACAGGGCCAAUUGAGUCAUGGAGCCAGGAUCCUGAGACAAUGUGACCCCAAAGGCUGGGCUGAUGUGCUCCUACAUUCUGCCUAUUGAUUCUUCAAACCCUCUAUCAAAGGAGAAAUUCGCUCUUACAAAUGUCCUGUCCUUGGGCUUCCCUGGUGGCGCAGUGGUUAAGAAUCCGCCUGCCAAUGCAGGGGAUACAGGUUCAAGCUCUGGCCCGCGAAGAUCCCACAUGCUGCGGGGCAACUGAGCCUGUGCGCCACAACUACUGAGCCUGCGCUCUAGAGCCCGUGAGCCACAACUACUGAAGCCCACGUGCCUAGAGCCUGUGCUCCGCAACAAGAGAAGCCACCGCAAUGAGAAGCCCACGCACCGCAACGAAGAGUAGCCCCCGCUCACCACAACUAGAGAAAGCCCCCGCGCAGCAACGAGGACCCAACGCAGCCAAAAAUAA